UACGGAGGGUGCAAGCGUUAUCCGGAUUCACUGGGUUUAAAGGGUGCGUAGGCGGAUAGGUAAGUCCGUGGUGAAAUCCUGCAGCUUAACUGCAGAACUGCCAUGGAUACUAUUUAUCUUGAAUGUCGUGGAGGUUAGCAGAAUAUGUCAUGUAGCGGUGAAAUGCUUAGAUAUGACAUAGAAUACCCAUGCGAAGGCAGCUAACUACGCGAUAAUUGACGCUGAUGCACGAAGCGUGGGAUCAAACAGG
rnacentral:rRNA from 1 species